rnacentral:rRNA from 1 species
UACGAAGGGGGCUAGCGUUGCUCGGAAUCACUGGGCGUAAAGCGCACGUAGGCGGCUUUUUAAGUCAGGGGUGAAAUCCUGGAGCUCAACUCCAGAACUGCCUUUGAUACAGCAAGUCUUGAGUCCGGAAGAGGUGGGUGGAAUUCCUAGUGUAGAGGUGAAAUUCGUAGAUAUUAGGAAGAACACCGGUGGCGAAGGCGGCCCACUGGUCCGGUACUGACGCUGAGGUGCGAAAGCGUGGGGAGCAAACAGG